AGACCGACCUGGACUCAGCUAUUCUGUCUGAAAUUGGGGAAUCUUUAUUAUCAAUGUUCCUGGAAUGGCUUCUCUGCUACCUUCUCUGGAAUCGAACACUCCUAGAGAAUAUCUCUAAGCCAGAAGAUUAUAAAUUUAGAACUAGAAAGGACCUUAAAAACCAUUAAAUCCAACCUUCUCAUUUUACAGAUUGAUGAACUCCAGACUGUCCUGUGCUCUCCUUACAGUGGGACUUUCUCAGUUUCUCUCUCAAAGGUGGAGUAUUGGGGAUGAAACAGAUUAGGCUGCAACUUUGAAAGAUCUGAAAGGUCAGAGGAACAGAUAUCCCAUGAAAGUAUGAGCAAGGCCCUGAAGAGCAGCCUGCACGUCCCAGAACAACAGUGAAUUGGACCUGAAAGCUAAGACACUGUUUUCUGGAACACCUCAUCUAUCAGCAGUGCCACCUUUAGAAGUGAACUUGGUGUGCAAAUGUUUGCAGCAACUGCUUUAAUUCUGAGCUCUCUUCCUCCAGGGAUUGAGGUGAUAGAUGGGAGAAUGUGCCCUGGUUAAGAGGAAUGGUUUGUACUUAUGUUCUUGCCAAAUCUUCUCAGUAAAUAUGCCUUUAUAAAAGCUAAAAGAAAAAAAAAGCUUCCAUGCCCUAACUUCUCUUAUGUCCCAUAAAGUUGCCACCCUAUGCAAUAUGCUCUAUCCAUUACACCAUCCUUCCUUAAUUAUCUUAUAGACUCUACUUGGUCCCUCCUAUAUAUUAUUCAUAUUACAGUUAAUGGUGCACAUACCUCAUCCACCCUACCAAAUUGUAAACUUCUUCAGAAUAGCCACCACACCUCAUUUCAUUCAUAUGCCUGGCACAUGGUAAGUACUUGAUAAAUGAUUGGUAAAUUAAACUGAAUUCUUCUUAUGUCAUAUAACCAAUAUGAUUGCCAUAUAGAUUGACAUUAAGAGGGUCCAUUUUUUGUCUGCAAUCAGAAUCUAGAAGCUUUACUUUCCUUGGUAUCAAGACAUGGUUCCUUUGAGAAGAAUGAUUCAGAAGCUGGGCAGAUUUGGGGGUCAUCCUGUCCAAUAGCUUUAAUAUACUAGGCUUAUCUUUGGGUGUGGAAGGAAAACACAACAUUAAAAAAACCAAAACCUUCCAUUAUCAGUUGCAAAUUCCAUUAAAAAGUACAGACAAAUUUGAAAUAUCUCUUUGUAGUGAGACAUUCUGUCAAAUCGUAUGUAUGUGGUUUGGGAUGGAGCUCAGUGAAGUUAAAGAAAAAAUACCUAAUGUAACAUGGGGAUGGGGAAAAUGUGGCUCAGUGCAAUCUAAUGAUGAAAUGUAAUACCACUUUUUUGUCUGAUCUCAUGGCUGUAGAAACUGGAGAAAUGAAGAUGUCACUGUUGGUGAUGUACUUCUGAGGUGACAGGGACUGGUAGUCUCUGAGGUUCUCUUUCACUUAAAUCAUUUGGGGUUCUCAUCUUUUCAGGUGCCUGUGCUUUUAUUAAUUUGGGGCACAUUGGAAGUACUUACCCCUAAUUUCACUUUACACUUUGAAGCAUACUAGAUUUUAGUUGAAGACUCCCCAAAUUUCACAUUGAAAGUAUUCCAAUGACUACUACUAUCAGAAAAUGGGGAGAAGGGGGAGUGCAUUGAUCUCUUAGUAACACUGUCUUAACAUUCCUAUAAUGGCCAAUAGUGACUGAUUUUUUCUUUUUUUUUUCUUUUUUUUUUAGUGAGGCAAUUGGGGUUAAGUGACUUGCCCAGGGUCACACAGCUAGUAAGUGUUAAGUGUCUGAGGCCGGAUUUGAACUCAGGUACUCCUGAUUCUAGGGCCGGUGCUCUAUCCACUGUGCCAUCUAGCUGCCCAUCUAGCUGUGACUGAUUUUUUAAAACAACAUUAACUAUUUCAUUGUUAUAUGAAGUUCUUAGUAAGGAACAUAAAGUCAGAAAGUUAUCUGGGGAAUAUUGAAAGAUUGAGUGAAAUACCCAGGUUCCAGGAUGGGUCAGAAUCAGGACUUAAACUUACAUUUUCCUGACUCAGGAGCUGGCUCUCUUUGGCUUUCCAUAUGGCUAAAAAGUUAUUUUGUUUUUUCUUAAAUUCUGACCCACAGAAAUAAUUUGCACUUUCAUAUUCCAAUAGAAACCACUGUUCUAUAUGAACAUUUACUUCUGCUUAUAUUAGAGCUGGUGCAUAUUCCCAAAGCAAAUUUACAAGGUAGAUAAUAAAGAUAAAGAUUAUACCCAUGAUUUUAGCAUUAUAAGGAUUUCCCACAUGAGGAAGGUCAGUGCCUUCUCUGCAGUUUUUAGAGAAAUGUGAGAAUAAGUGACUUGUCCAAAUGAGAGUCAAUAUGUACAAGAAGACAGACUUAACCCAAACCUUUCUGGAUUCAAGGACAACUAUACUAUGCCAUGCUGCCUCUUCCAUCAAUCAAUUAAUAGACAUUUAUUAAGUGUCUUCUCUGUGGCAGGUACUAUGCUAAGGACUAGGGAUACAAAAAGACAGCUCCUUGCCCUCAAGGAGCUAACAAUUUAAUGGGAGAGAUUGUUGUCCUUGGUUGUUCUUCGUUCUCAAAGAAGACCACCAGAGUGAUGUCACAACUUGCAAUGAAGUAGCUUUAAAUGAGGGAGGCUGUGCAAACUCACUCUCCUCCAGAGCCAUCUGGGUCCAAUGGCAAGACAUACAUCAGGACAACUGGAGAUGGCCCUACAUGUUUGAGGCAAUCGGGAUUAAGUGACUAGCCCAGAAUCAUACAGCUAAGUAAGUGUCUGAGGCCAGAUUUGACCUCCAGUUCUUCUGAUUCCAGGGCCAGAGCUCUAUCCACUCACUGCACCACCUGGCUGCCAUAAUAAGGGAGAUAAUAUGUGACAAAUAUACAAAGCAAGCUAUAAAUGUGAUAAAAGGGGAAUAAUUCACAAAGGCAAGGGAAUGAAAUUAAGAGGGCACAAGGAAAGCUUCCAAUCAAAGGUGGAAUUAUAGUUGGAAUUUAGGCAAUCAGGAAGUUCAGUAGUCAGAGUGGAGAAGGAAUAGCAUUCUAAACAUGGAAGACAACCAGAGAAAAUGUCCAGGACCAAGAGAUUGCAUGUCUUGUUCAUAGAACAGCCCAGAGGUCAGUGUCAUGGGAUCGAAGAGUAUGUGUCAGGGAGUAAGGGAUAAGAAUAUUGAAAAGAUAGGAGGGGGAUAGUUGAUGAAGAACCUUGAAUGCCCAUUGGAGCAUUUUGUAUUUGAUCCUGGAGACAAUAGGAAGAGCCACUGGAGUUUAUUCCAUAGGGGGAUGACAUGAUCAGACUUAGGUUUUAGGAAAAUAAUUUUUUGUGAUUCAAUGGGGGAUGGAUUAGGAUGGGGAGAAAUUUAAGGAAGGAAGAUUCCCCUCAGGCUUUUGCAAUAAUCCCGGUGUAGGGUGAUGAGGACCUGGCCUAGAAUUGUGACAGUCAGAAGAGAGAAAACGGCAUAUUCAAGAGCUGUUUUAAAAGUGAAAUCAAUAAACCUUGGCAACAGUUUGGAGACAAGGGUGAGAGAUAGUGAGGAUUCCAGGAUGACUCCUAGAGUCAUCUUGAGAAACUGGGAGUUUAGUGUUAUCCUCUAAAGUAAAAGGGAUGGUGGGCAACUCUUUGGCACAGUGCACAGAGCACUGGCCCUGAAGUCAGGAGGACCUAAGUUCAAAUCAAAACCCUGUUGUCAUGGUCCUCUUCAAAAAUGAAGGACAAACAACAAUAGGGAAACUAGCAGGUAGGGAGGGUUUAGUAGGAAAGAUGAGUUCCAUUUUGGAUAAAGUGAAUUUAAAAUGUGAUAAUAAGGAAAGAGCAAAAGUAAUUUGGACUCCCCAAGUGCCCCAAUUAUUUACAAAUGAAGUCUUACAAUGCUUUAUGAACUCUUUAAAAAGAAAUAUAAAGACAAACACCUUAUCUGAUGUUGUAGAGCUGAAUAAGGAACAACACAUUAGACUAUGAACUAUUUGAGAUAAAGAACUGUCUUGCCCUUCUUUGAAUCCCUAGCACUUAGCACAGUUGUUAUGCAGCAGACAUUUAUUAAGUGCUAGUUGACUGACUGACAUGGAAAUGGUUCAUUUCCUGCCUCAUCAUCUCCUUAACUGUAGAUCAUUUCCAUAAACCAGGUAGAAAUGAAGAACUUGUCUUAGUUUUUUUUUAAAGGUUCACUGAAAAGUUUCAAUUCACACAAUCACCAGCAAAAACACAUAAUGAUGUUGUUGAGUUUCAGCAAGGACAAUAUAAUUUUUCAAAAUACUGUUACACCAUAAUAUAUUCUAUAGAACCCACAAAACUUACGUUGACAUAAUCCACAUAUUGCAAUGCCACUCCUCACCCUUACAUAAUUAUGUUUCACUAGUUCGGGAGUGUGCUGGACUCAGCUUGAACUGACUCAUAAGAGCAAAUUAUUAAAUUUUCUGUGAGGAAAUUUACACCAUGUAAAUUGACAAAUGUUACAAAUUAGGGUUUGGCUUAAUGUUGUGUUGAUUGUCUAGACUUAAGAAAGUAAUGAAGAAAAUAUUAGUAAUGCAGAUCAAACUUGAAAGUGAGGCAUGUGUAUAUUUUCCCCAGAGAGCCAGUUGUUAAGUAUUACCAUACACCUUUGCACUUGCUAUUCUUCUUUUACUUUUUUCUAAAUUAAAAGGCAAUCCCUCAGCAGUGAAUUCUUAAACAAGGGAGAGAAGUGAUCAGAAAAGAUAAAAUCAUGUGAUUGCAUUAAAUUGAAAAGCUUUUGCAUGAACAAAAUUAAUUGAUUGGGGGAUUGACAAAAUAUAUUUGAUUGAUAUAUUGAUAAAAAACUAUAUAAAUAUAGUUACUGUGCUAUAAGAAGUAAAGAAUACAGAAGUGGACAGGGGACUAUAGAUGUAGAAUACUGCUUAUGAUGACAAUUUUUUUUGAAGAGUUGGUUGGGUUUUCUGGGCUUUUCCCCUCUUUUUUUAUUCCUGGUUAUAAGUGAUGGCUCUCUGGGAGGAGGAGGACAAAAGGGUACAGUGGGAAAUUUAGGUGAUAUCAAAACAAAACAAAACAACAAAAUUAAUUUUUUUAAAUGGUCCUCAACAUUUUUUUUAGCUCUGGGCUUAUAAUUUUUUUUAUCAAAAGUUACCAAAAGGUUAAUAUUUGAGUGGUAUGAAUAUAUGAUAUUUUUAUAAUUAUCUAAACAAAAGUUCCUUUUCAUUAAUUGGGAUUCCUUUUAUAUAGUCUUUGUGUUUAUUCAUCUAUGUAUUUGUGGUUUUGUUCUAGUAGAAUAUAAGCUCCUUGAGGGCAGGGGAUGUUUCAUUUUUGUCUUUUUGUUUUGUCUUUUUUUUUCAUGCCUUUCAUAUAAGUAUUUAAUAAAUCCUUAUUCAAUUAGACUUAAUGAGAUAUUGCAGAAUUGUGUGCACAUUAAUUUUAUUUCAGUUCCUAUGUCCAAUGCAUUUGUGGAAAGGUAUAAAUUCAUGAUGAAAUAGAUCAAGAACUGUGAGAGUUUGUUAUAGAUCCAUAUAUUAUCAUUAAAAACAACUUCUGAAGCUCAACUAUUAUUCAGGCUUGCUGAAUAAAUGGGAUAUUGUUAAGCCUUUGUCUAACAAUGACUCUUUCUCUUCUGAGGAUCCCAACACUGUUUUAAUUCAA